UGGCGGCGUGCCUAACACAUGCAAGUCGAACGGAGAGCAUAUGAAGUAUUCGGUACGGAAUGCGUUCGUUAGUGGCGAACGGGUGAGUAACACGUGGGCAACCUGCCCCAGACUGGGGGAUAACAUUGUGAAAACAGUGCUAAUACCGCAUGACAGGGUUCCGGCAUCCGGGACUCUUGAAAGGAGAAAUCCGGUCAGGGAUGGGCCCGCGUCCAAUUAGCUAGUUGUGGGGUAACGGCCCACCAAGGCGACGAUUGGUAGCCGAACUGAGAGGUUGAUCGGCCACAUUGGGACUGAGACACGGCCCAGACUCCUACGGGAGGCAGCAGUGGGGAAUAUUGGGCAAUGGGCGAAAGCCUGAACCCCCAGCGACGCCGCGUGAAGGAUGAAGGUCUUCGGAUUGUAAACUUCUUUGAUCAGGGAAGAAAGAAAUGACGGUACCUGAAAAACAAGCCACGGCUAACUACGUGCCAGCAGCCGC
rnacentral:rRNA from 1 species